rnacentral:lncRNA from 1 species
GAGAAUGUGUGGUGCAUCAGCAAGCGCGUCUUCUCUGUGCAGACUCUCGUCGCAAGAAGCGGGCGGCAAGCUUUGCGCAGCUAUGGAUUCUUCAUCCUCAGUGCUCGGGAAGUCCAGUUUUGCGUCUUUGCCAGCGUCAGAGGUUUCACCGUCCUCAUUCGUCUGCUCUAGACCUCCAACUCCGGAAAUGGAUUCAUGAGAUGGUAGUUUUUUGGGGGAUAAGUCACCGUCAUUCGAACCCUCGAGCUCGAGGGGCGACAAUGAGGGUGUCCCGCCUUUUACGGUGUGGGGAAGUCGAAUUGUUUUUGGACCAGCCCCGCCGUUUUUGUUCCCCAGGAGACACGGGGAGACACCCCCUGCGGAACCACGGAAAGGUAACUGGGAGGAAGGGGAGACGCCGCUUCUCGAGCGAGAUGUGCUCGCGUCGGCUGGUACCCCAGCAGCUGCCUGACUCAAAUCAUCUGCAGCCAGUCCCACGGUGGUAGAGGGACGGCCUGCGGACGCAUCGCCCAAGAAGUCGGAGUGCCGCUUCAGGAUCUCUACAGAAGGCUCACCACUGGCAACAGACGCCGGCGGCGUCACGGAUUCUAGCAGCCCGCUCUGCGGCCGUUCACUGCACCACAGCGUGUCAGAAUGCAGCGCAGCCACUGCCUCCCCUUUCUCCUGAGAAGGCUGAAGCCAUGUGUCCGGAAUGACGCGUACGGGUCCCAUUCUGCCACUGGUAAAGGGCUCCAGUUCGCCUCGGGCGCUACUGCACGCACUGCCUGCGUCCAGCAGGGGUGUUGCCGCCGCGGUACUCCUUGUACUCCCCCCUGUGCCUUCCGUGAGAUGUGACGCAGUGGCUGGGCGGCGAGAUUCGUUUUGGCGGAGCACACAGGCGGCAGGGGGGAGGGGAGAAGUGACUAAAAUCACUCUCUCGUCAGAAGAGAAGGACUGAGCCGAGGUCGAGCCAUGGGACAGCUGAAAGGAGCAUUGAGCUGAGCCUUGGGCAUCGCCACCCUCAUGGACAACAGGAAACGCUCCUGCGAGCUCUUUCCCAGAAGAGGGGAAAUGCGGCGUUGGCGGUGCGUCCCCAGUUACUCGCUGUUUUCCCUGGUGGAAGAGACGAGGCGAUGUGGAGACUGACGAUUCGCCGUCACCUCCAAGCAGCACCGCAGGAGAGGGCAAGCCUUGGGGAGAGUGCGUGGCGCCUGUCUCUUCUCCCUGGACUCCGGGCCGCUCUUGACAGAGGCGUUCUCGGCACGAGCCUUUGUCGCCUUCGUAGCGGCUGGUUCGAGAAGCUGAACCCACGACUUGUUGAUGGACCCACGAGACCGGCGUGUCCGCGCGUGCCAUAACUGGUACGGCUUCCUCACAGCAGGAAUCUCUGGUGUUCCAGGAACGCGCGCAACUGCAGGGUGGGGAAGCAUCAGCGUCGCCUUCGCGUUCUGCGUGAGUGCAGAACGCGACACUUCUUGCCCUACACACAUCGGGAAUGUGCUGCUUGUCUUCUUCCGCUCCUUGCUUCUUGACUUUCGAAGAGCUCUGUUUCUCCCCGUCCACCAUCGCCCUAAAGCUUCCAGCGAUAACCUCCACCUCUGCGUGGGCGUCAGCACUGGGACCGCAGACCGCCUUUCCAGCGCUCGCUUCCUGUGGAGGGCCACCUGGAGGCGGCUCCCCACAAAAAGCACCCGGCACGUUGCUGGCUUGGACUGCAUGUCCUCGAGAAGAUCCUUUCUCUGUCUCGAAGGACGCAAGGGAUACCUUCGACACCGACAGAUUCGCGUCGUCUGGCUCACGCCUGCCUUCGCUGGCAGCACUCGGAGAAUUCCGGGUCCCAUCCGGAAGCGUCCGCGUCGGAGCAUCGCUGUGGCGAGAAUGCAGAAACUGCUCCCGAGUCCCCACACGCGCCCCACAAGUGUCGAAGCGUGCGAGAGGCGCGAUACCACCUGUACGUAGCCGGUCGCGGGAGGCGCCUUCGCCAACCCGCUCGCCAGUCAUUGACUCGGCCGGAAAACUCUGCCGGUGUGGGAAGUUUCCAGGCGGCGCAGAUCCUUCCCUUUCAUACUCACCAGCGCCCACGACACCUGUCGCUACUAACGGAGGAGCGGAAGAGACAGUCCCCACGCGACUGCUUUCUGGCCUUCGGAAGGGCGUCACUGCGCGACACCCACAAGGAUAAAGAGAGGCUGCUGCAUGGCCCGCAUCCUGAGCCAGCGUUCGGCAUCCAUCUCUUGCGGCGCCGCACUCCGACGCUGAACAGACCGUAAAUGGUUGGUGACCAUCAGGUGACGUGGCGGAGGGUGCCUGCGGUGCUUCCGGCUCCUGACACGCACAUUCUCUCGCUUGAUUUCCCCGGAGAGAAGGGCCGUUCUUCGCGACAGUGGACGACUCUCGACUUCCGCAUCGGUCCGGCGCUUCAGAUGUUAGAGAGACUGAGAAUUUCUGCUCCGCUUCCUCGUCGCGAAACACUCGUGGAAGCGUCUCCAGGACAUUCGAGCAACUUCGCUGCGAACCUCCAGAUCCGGCCGAGGUGCACAGGGCAGAAUCGGCAAGCAAACAAGGCGGCCUCCCUGCGAGGGGCGGCUGUCUACUGAGAAGGCGCGACCUUGACGCGUUCGCGCAGUUUGACUGUGGUGCCGAGGUUCCACUGCCGUGGGCUUCCGCUGAGACGCCUGAGAGGGCAGCCGGAGAGUUCGCGGAACAUGUAGCUGUUUCGCGUCUCGUGGAAAGCACCGAACAUGCGAUACCCUGGUGUGGCGGAUCCACGUCAGUUGGCUGUGAGUCGACGUGGCCAUUGUCCGACCCACACGCCCGUCCACUUGCAGCGUCUUCCACACGCUCACGUUGAGGAAGUUGGGACGGAGAGUCUACAGCUCGCGCAGCAGCUGGCGAGGCUGCCGCUGCCGCCCGGCCGCACGCAGGGUGCCCGCCUCCAUCCCCCGAGGAAGAGCCGGUCGGUGCUGCGAGGGAGGCGGCGGCCGAGGAGCAAAGUAUCGACAAGAAGGAAGGCAAGCGAGAGGAGUCGACGAGAUCGGACGGAGACACCGCAGGCUUUUCAUCAGGCAUGUCGUCGGCUCUCGCUGAGCGCAGCCUGGUCACUUGUCCAGAGUGAAAGGGUGCAUCGACAGGACGGACAGUUUCGGCUGCAUGCGACGCAAUGGAAGAAGAGGAAGCCUUGAUUGUGGAGACGAGGCGCCGAGAGCCCGGGGCUCCCCAAGUAACCUCUCCCUUGUCAACUGCGCCUGAGGCGAAAACAAGAGACAGCAAGAAUCGAAACGGGAACGGAUGUCCUGUCUCUAUUCACGGAGCAGACGGCAGGAAAAGCCGUUCCCCUGCUGCGGCAGCAAGGAAAACAGCGUGCACUCAGUCGAAAGCCGUCUCGUUUGCGCUACAGGCAUCCGAGCAAACCGUGCCUUCGUUACGCCUGUGCGAUUAUGCAAGACCGGGUUCCUUCGUCGAAAUCGAUCUGUCAAGAACCCAAUUUCUCCCCUUCCUUCACUUUUCGGCGCUGGCGGUAAGAUAAAGACGGGAAGAACUUAUGGGCUUGACAACUCCCAUGUUUACGGACGCUGUCUCACCUGGGUUCCUAGAGCCACUGCACCGUUGUCGCCAGUUGGUAUCCUGCUCGAUCUGGUCUGGAGCCGACCUCCGAUCAGGAGCAAAGCUUGGACUCUUCGCGACUGCGCGCUGUAUCCUCGUCGAGGAGGGCGAAUCAGGGUGGCUGUCCUGUACCGAUUCAGGCGCCCUGUACUCGGGAGCGCGCUCGUUUCCCUCCCUUGGACCCUUUGGAGUAGUGAGGGGACCUAUGAGCAUUUGUUCUGUAACCUUUUCGCGUGCUCUUCCGAGGACGUCAUCAACUGCCCGUUUUGCUUCACUUCCCAGGAAGCUCUCAACCUCCUGACUCUCUCUUCGCCAGCCUGGGACAACUCGCGCCCUGCUUUCGUCUCUGCGUCCAGCUACAUCUGAAUUAUUCCUCACGGCGACAGCUUCUAGAGUAGUGAUCUUUGUUCCUUCGCGCUCGCUGGGGAAUUCGUGGUUCGCCUCAUCCGCACUCGUCUUCUUCGUUAACCUCCUCGUUUCGAGUCUGUCUUCCCUGCCGUCACGGGAGGGCGAUGCGAGGAAGUCCAGCUCGGCAGAAGCAGCACACCUUGAGUGGGAAUAGUGAUCUGUGUGAACGUGUCUGAGCCUGGGGGAACCGGGUGCGUCGUCUCUCCCGGUUUCAGGCUGUUCAUCUCUCUCGCGCUCCUUGGAAUCUCCAGGGCUCUCCCGUCUUCCCGUGACUCGAAUCGUCUUCUUCAGCACCUUUGAUGCCUCGCACCGGGACUGUGCAGCCACUCCGGGAAGCCCACGCAAAGAAGAUGGAGAGGGAGAAUGCGCUUUGACGACCUUGGCACCGGAGCCGCUGGCAGCCGCUGCGGCCGCAGCAGCCGCCGCCACAGCGCGUCCCAGCGUUAGGGAAGGACAGGGAUGCAGACUGAAAAAGAAUAGAACAAGAAGCAGUUGCCACGCCAGGAUGGGAGCGCUCAUCGACUAGAGGAACCUGACGGAUUACUAGAGGAACAGGUGCACAUGUCGGGAAGCUCUUUUGUGCGUUCUCGGGCGACGCUCGAGUGUGGCUGGAAAUUCCUUUAGCGUGACAGCGGCGCAAAGACAGUCUUCGGUGUUUCCAUCUAAGAUGAGAGCGUCGGGAGUCGCAUAGGAGGCGGACAGGCACAGUGCUGCAAAGAACCACCAGAUGCAUGCACGAUGCAGCGAUUGGGGGAACGACGGGCAAAUGAAAGUAAGUGCGACACGCAACGAUCAGUAAAAAGCGCAGUACGUCGUUUCUCACUGAGUCCGAUCUACACGGGUGUCUGAAUGUGCUCGAUGAAUAUCGGCGAUGCCCCAGACAAUAUACCGAACCUGUUUCGACCACAAACGGAGCUAUUGUACGAGGCCCACACAUUCCGGAGGCCUUUCGCACGCAAGCGUUCGUGACCUUCCCGAUGCCAAAGAAACGCCACUUCCUUCACGCAUGAACAAGACGCGUCCCUUGCUACCUGCUCGCCUAUCCAGGACGCUCCCCCCAGGGUAAGUGCCUGGUACUGUUUUGAGGCAUUUGCGUGUUGCAGCAAAGAUCCUCGAAAAAUAGCGCUGCUCGGGUGGCGUGUACGGUUUAGUUGGCGGUUCGUAUCCUGCCUGUACUGCCGCUCGAAAGACUGACUUGGCCGCAGUGCAGAGGAGCUGAAGCUGCUGAACGAUGCUCCGGAACGAGGGUCGAUGCCGCUCAUCCUCUUGAAUGCAGCUGAGAAUGCGCACACGAAAACAGCCCCAUGUUCUGGUUUUCACAGCGCGACCUUGAGCUGUAGUGUAUUCGGCUAUUGCGUCGCCGGUGGCCCCGCAUCGAAAAGCAGUGCAUGGAACUGGACGUCAGGGA